GGACUACUAGGGUAUCUAAUCCUGUUUGCUCCCCACGCUUUCGUGUCUCAGCGUCAGUUGUCGUCCAGUAAGCCGCCUUCGCCACUGGUGUUCCUCCCAAUAUCUACGCAUUUUACCGCUACACUGGGAAUUCCGCUUACCUCUCCGACACUCAAGCCACGCAGUUUCAAAGGCGAAUACGGGUUGAGCCCGUAUCUUUUACCUCUGACUUGCAUAGCCGCCUACACACCCUUUACACCCAGUAAUUCCGGAUAACGCUUGCCACCUACGUAUUACCGCGGCUGCUGGCAC
rnacentral:rRNA from 1 species